CCCUGACAGCGGCAUGAGGCUGCUGACGUAACCCAAGACAGGAGAUCCACAUG
rnacentral:ncRNA from 1 species